UCCUACGGGGCGCAGCAGUAGGGAAUUUUCGUCAAUGGGCGCAAGCCUGAACGAGCAAUGCCGCGUGAACGAGGAAGGUCUUCGGAUCGUAAAGUUCUGUUGAAGGGGAAAAAGAGCGGAGAGAGGAAAUGGUCUCCGAUUGAUAUUACCCUUCGAGGAAGUCACGGCUAACUACGUGCCAGCAGCCGCGGUAAUACGUAGGUGGCGAGCGUUAUCCGGAAUUAUUGGGCGUAAAGGGUGCGUAGGCGGCCUGCUAAGUCUGAAGUGAAAGGUACCGGCUCAACCGGUACAGGCUCUGGAAAAUG
rnacentral:rRNA from 1 species